rnacentral:lncRNA from 1 species
UGGAUAAAAUACAAAAGCAAAGUGUAAAAGACCGUAGGAUUCUCUGCAUUUUCAAAAUUAGACUAUUCCAAAAUUAGAUUAUUUCACACAAGGGUGGCGCAUGUGUGAUAUUUCAGUUAAUUGGAUGUUGAUGAAAACAGAUGCUUCAAUGAAUCAAACAGUUUGGUGAUUUCAUAUUCACAUUGGGAAAAAUGGUUGGGACUAUGAUAAUAGGUCGACCCAAGAUGGCCACAGUCAGCAUACAGUGUGGUCCAAAAGAUAUUUGAUUUCCUCUGAUCCCACUGUCCCUUUGUUCUGCAUGAACCAAUCAGGGGUGUUUCAAGGGGCCCCAGGCAAAAAGGACCUAAGGGAGGGCCCUGUCUCAGCUUGGGGCCCCAGACAACUUGCCUGCUUUGCCUACCAUGUUGCAACACCCCUGACAACGUUGAAUACACAGUAAUAUUUCAUAGUCAAAGAAGAAGUGUAGAAUGAAAGUGUUAAAACGUUAAGAUCUUGGUUCAAACAAUGUUCUCCACUUGCAAGAACAUGCAGCUUUGGCUUUCAAUGUUCUUCUCAGACGAUAUGAGUAGUGCAAAUUAUUCCGUGACUGUUGAAAGAACGGGGCAAAGCUCCGACUUAAGAGCUGAUGUCAUCAUCCAACAUCCCAUAGUUACUUAUCAGUCUGACCUUGAGGUGUUUCCGGGCUCCUCAUCAUGAAUCAUGUAAGAUAUCAGGUGUCUUAUGGUUUAAUGUAGAUAGAGACCUAUAAGUGCAUGCACUUGGUCAAGACUAAUAAAUCAUCCGCAGUAGCCACAGUAAAGUCUGCUAUCAUCUUAAUGAGACAACGCCCUCUGUUCCUAUGAUCACGCCAACUCCCAUUGUUUCAGGUUGCCAGCUGCCGUAUCCAUAGCACAUGGCUAUCAGUGGUCAGUGUGGUUGCUCUUUUAAAUGUAUCAUCGCAAAGGGGGAUUAUUGAUGAGAGGAAACCCAAGAUUGCGCACUGAAAUGUCUUAAACACCAUAUUUUACAAUUAGUGAGUUCCCUACAGGUGCCUAAUGCUAAUCUUGUAUAUGAGAGAUUCAUAAAUUGUUG